rnacentral:rRNA from 1 species
GACGAACGCUGGCGGCGUGCCUAAUACAUGCAAGUCGAGCGAAUCUUUGGGAGCUUGCUCCCUAAGGUUAGCGGCGGACGGGUGAGUAACACGUGGGCAACCUGCCUAUAAGACUGGGAUAACUUCGGGAAACCGGAGCUAAUACUGGAUAAUUCCUUUCCUCUCAUGAGGGAAGGCUGAAAGACGGUUUCGGCUGUCACUUAUAGAUGGGCCCGCGGCGCAUUAGCUAGUUGGUGAGGUAACGGCUCACCAAGGCGACGAUGCGUAGCCGACCUGAGAGAGUGAUCGGCCACACUGGGACUGAGACACGGCCCAGACUCCUACGGGGGGCAGAAGUAGGGAAUCUUCCGCAAUGGACGAAAGUCUGACGGAGCAACGCCGCGUGAGUGAUGAAGGUUUUCGGAUCGUAAAACUCUGUUGUUAGGGAAGAACAAGUACGAGAGUAACUGCUCGUACCUUGACGGUACCUAACCAGAAAGCCACGGCUAACUACGUGCCAGCCGCCGCGGUAAUAC